AGUGAACCAGUACCGUGAGGGAAAGGCGAAAAGAACCCCGGCGAGGGGAGUGAAAAAGAACCUGAAACCGUGUACGUACAAGCAGUGGGAGCACCUUCGGGUGUGACUGCGUACCUUUUGUAUAAUGGGUCAGCGACUUAUAUUCUGUAGCAAGGUUAACCGUAUAGGGGAGCCGCAGGGAAACCGAGUCUUAACUGGGCGUUAAGUUGCAGGGUAUAGACCCGAAACCCGGUGAUCUAGCCAUGGGCAGGUUGAAGGUUGGGUAACACUAACUGGAGGACCGAACCGACUAAUGUUGAAAAAUUAGCGGAUGACUUGUGGCUGGGGGUGAAAGGCCAAUCAAACCGGGAGAUAGCUGGUUCUCCCCGAAAGCUAUUUAGGUAGCGCCUCGUGAACUCAUCUUCGGGGGUAGAGCACUGUUUCGGCUAGGGGGUCAUCCCGACUUACCAACCCGAUGCAAACUACGAAUACCGAAGAAUGUUAUCACGGGAGACACACGGCGGGUGCUAACGUCCGUCGUGAAGAGGGAAACAACCCAGACCGCCAGCUAAGGUCCCAAAGUCACAGUUAAGUGGGAAACGAUGUGGGAAGGCACAGACAGCCAGGAUGUUGGCUUAGAAGCAGCCAUCAUUUAAAGAAAGCGUAAUAGCUCACUGGUCGAGUCGGCCUGCGCGGAAGAUGUAACGGGGCUAAACUGUGCACCGAAGCUGCGGCAGCGACACUUAGGUGUUGUUGGGUAGGGGAGCGUUCUGUAAGCCUGCGAAGGUGGCCUGUGAGGGGUGCUGGAGGUAUCAGAAGUGCGAAUGCUGACAUAAGUAACGAUAAUGCGGGUGAAAAGCCCGCACGCCGGAAGACCAAGGGUUCCUGUCCAACGUUAAUCGGGGCAGGGUGAGUCGACCCCUAAGGCGAGGCCGAAAGGCGUAGUCGAUGGGAAACAGGUUAAUAUUCCUGUACUUGGUGUUACUGCGAAGGGGGGACGGAGAAGGCUAUGUUAGCCGGGCGACGGUUGUCCCGGUUUAAGCAUGUAGGCGGAGGUUCCAGGUAAAUCCGGUACCUUUUAACGCUGAGGUGUGAUGACGAGGCACUACGGUGCUGAAGUAACAAAUGCCCUGCUUCCAGGAAAAGCCUCUAAGCAUCAGGUAACAUUGAAUCGUACCCCAAACCGACACAGGUGGUCAGGUAGAGAAUACCAAGGCGCUUGAGAGAACUCGGGUGAAGGAACUAGGCAAAAUGGUGCCGUAACUUCGGGAGAAGGCACGCUGAUAUGUAGGUGAAGCCCCUGCGGGUGGAGCUGAAAUCAGUCGAAGAUACCAGCUGGCUGCAACUGUUUAUUAAAAACACAGCACUGUGCAAACACGAAAGUGGACGUAUACGGUGUGACGCCUGCCCGGUGCCGGAAGGUUAAUUGAUGGGGUUAUCCGUAAGGAGAAGCUCUUGAUCGAAGCCCCGGUAAACGGCGGCCGUAACUAUAACGGUCCUAAGGUAGCGAAAUUCCUUGUCGGGUAAGUUCCGACCUGCACGAAUGGCGUAAUGAUGGCCAGGCUGUCUCCACCCGAGACUCAGUGAAAUUGAACUCGCUGUGAAGAUGCAGUGUACCCGCGGCAAGACGGAAAGACCCCGUGAACCUUUACUAUAGCUUGACACUGAACAUUGAGCCUUGAUGUGUAGGAUAGGUGGGAGGCUUUGAAGCGUGGACGCCAGUCUGCGUGGAGCCAACCUUGAAAUACCACCCUUUAAUGUUUGAUGUUCUAACGUUGGCCCCUGACCGGGGUUGCGGACAGUGUCUGGUGGGUAGUUUGACUGGGGCGGUCUCCUCCCAAAGAGUAACGGAGGAGCACGAAGGUUAGCUAAUCCUGGUCGGACAUCAGGAGGUUAGUGCAAUGGCAUAAGCUAGCUUGACUGCGAGCGUGACGGCGCGAGCAGGUGCGAAAGCAGGUCAUAGUGAUCCGGUGGUUCUGAAUGGAAGGGCCAUCGCUCAACGGAUAAAAGGUACUCCGGGGAUAACAGGCUGAUACCGCCCAAGAGUUCAUAUCGACGGCGGUGUUUGGCACCUCGAUGUCGGCUCAUCACAUCCUGGGGCUGAAGUAGGUCCCAAGGGUAUGGCUGUUCGCCAUUUAAAGUGGUACGCGAGCUGGGUUUAGAACGUCGUGAGACAGUUCGGUCCCUAUCUGCCGUGGGCGCUGGAGAAUUGAGGGGGGCUGCUCCUAGUACGAGAGGACCGGAGUGGACGCAUCACUGGUGUUCGGGUUGUCAUGCCAAUGGCAUUGCCCGGUAGCUAAAUGCGGAAGAGAUAAGUGCUGAAAGCAUCUAAGCACGAAACUUGCCCCGAGAUGAGUUCUCCCUGAGACUUUAAGUCUCCUGAAGGAACGUUAAAGACGAUGACGUUGAUAGGUCGGGUGUGUAAGCGUAGCGAUACGUUGAGCUAACCGAUACUAAUGAACCGUGAGGCUUAACCUU
rnacentral:rRNA from 1 species